GGAGCAGGCGAGGCGGUCGCUUCUUCCUCUGAAAAUGAGGAAGGAGAGGAAAGUCCGAACUCCAAAGGGCAGGAUAGUCGCUAACCGCGACUCCGGGCAACCGGAGGAAAGUGCCACAGAAAAGAUACCGCCUGGCUUAAAAAAGUCAGGUAAGGGUGAAAAGGUGAGGUAAGAGCUCACCGCUCUGGUGGUGACACCAGAGGCCUGGUAAACCCUAUCCGGAGCAAGACCAAAUCGACUCCGCUUGAGGAUGGCCCGUCCGAUGGAGUGGGUAGGUCGCUUGAACUGCUGAGCAAUCAGCAGGGUAGACAAAUGACCGCCGCUGCCUCUGGCAGUAACUGAAUUCGGCUUAUGACCUGCUCCAGCC
rnacentral:RNase_P_RNA from 1 species